rnacentral:rRNA from 1 species
CCGGGGUAAGUCGAAGGGGGAGAAGCGUUGCUCGAUAUCGAAUGGGCGUAGAGAAAGCGAGGGGGGGUCUUAAAUUCAAGUGAGAGAGCACGGAGCUCACCUCCAGAACUGCCUUUGAUACUGUAAGAUCUUGAGUUCGAGAGAGGUGAAGGGGAACUGCGAGUGUAGAGGUGAAAUUCGUAGAUAUUCACAAGCACCCCAGUGGGGAAGGCGAGCUCACUGUCCUGAUUCUGACGCUGAGCCGUGACAGCGUGGGGCGCAGACUAGACUUAGAUACCCUGGUAGUCCACGCCCGUAACCGAGGAAUUCCAGCCUUUAGUGGGUUUUCUCCCUAGUGGCGCAGCUAACGCUUUAAGCAUUCCGUCUGGGGAGUACGGUCGCAAGAUUAAAACUAAAAGGAAUUGACGGGGGCCCGCACAAGCGGUGGGGCAUGUGGUUUAAUUCGACGCAACGCGCAGCACCUUCCCAGCCCUUGACAUGUCCGGGACCGGUCGCAGAGAUGUGUCCCUCUUUUUGGAGUCCGAAACACAGGUGCGGCAUGGCUGUUGUCACCUCGGGUCGUGAGAUGUGGGGUUAAGUCCCGCAACGAGCGCACCCCCCGUCCUUACUUGGUACCAUUUAGUUGGGCCCUCUAAGGAGACUGCCCGUGAAAAGCCGGGAGGAAGGGGGGGAUGACGUCAAGUCCCCAUGGCCCUUACGGGAUGGGCUACACACGUGUUACAAUGGCGGUGACAAUGGGCCGCUAAGGGGCAACCCUUCGCAAAUCUCAAAAACCCGUCCCAGUUCGGAUUGGGGUCUGCAACUCGAGCCCAUGAAGUUGGAAUCGCUAGUAAUCGUGGACCAGCAUGCCGCGGUGAAUACGUUCCCGGGCCUUGC